rnacentral:tRNA from 1 species
GGAGAGAUGGCAGAGUGGUCGAUCGCGCAUCCUUGGAAAGGAUGUAUACGGGCAACCGUAUCGGGGGUUCGAAUCCCCCUCUCUCCG